rnacentral:rRNA from 1 species
CUCAGUCGUGCUUUGGGGGUGAACAACCGCAAGUUAUUAGUCUAUGAGAAGGAGUUCUUGGCAGUCCUACUCGUUGUCGAUCAUUGGCGUCAGUACUUAGAGCGAGGACCCUUCGAAAUUCUGACAGACCAUAAGAGUUUGUGCAAUUUGUGGGAGCAGCACCUCGGAUCUGAGCUGCAACGCAAAGCAAUGGCGAAGUUGGGCGGCUUGCAAUUCAAAUUCAAGUACCGUAGAGGAGCUGACAAUGUGGCAGCAGAUUCUCUGUCUCGGAUUGGUCAUUUGCUGACCAUCCAGGCCACAUCUACUUGUCAACCUUCGUGGAUCCAGGAGGUCCGAAACUCCUAUGUCACUGACGCCAAGGCAACCCAAUUACUGCAAGCUCUGGCUGUGCACAGUCCCGAUGAACAAGGCCAUGAACUGGACCGGGGCUUGAUUAAAUACAAAGGUCGCCUUUGGAUUGGGGACAACGCUGCUAUGCAGACCAAGCUGAUUACGGAGAUGCACACCGCGGCAGUCAGUGGCCACUCCGGCAUCCGCCCAACGUAUAUGGGCCUGAAGAAUCUCUUCUACUAG